rnacentral:piRNA from 1 species
UAUGGCCAAGUGUAAGGAAUCUCACCUCCUU